rnacentral:rRNA from 1 species
GAGUUUGAUUCUGGCUCAGGAUGAACGCACAAGACGUGCCUAACACAUGCAAAUCGAAUGAAAACAAUUUAAUUAAAUUGUUUUCAUGGUGAACGGGUGAGUAACACAUAAGAAUCAGCUUUUAGAUAAGGCAUAAAAGAGUAAUAUCUUGGUAAUUCCUUAUAUGCGCAGCAGUGCUUAAAAAGGGGACUCCCGUCUAAAAACGAGCUUAUGCCUGAUUAGCUAGUUGGCGAGUUAAAAGCUCACCAAGGCGAAGAUCAGUAGCUGGCCUGAGAGGGCGGCCAGCCACAUUGGGACUGAGACACGGCCCAAACUCCUACGGGAGGCAGCAGUGGGGAAUCUUCUGCAAUGGGCGCAAGCCUGACAGAGCGGCGUCAUGUGAAGGAAGAAGGCCUGAAAUAGGUUGUAAACUUCUUUUACUGAGUAAUGAAUACUGACAACGCAGUAAAAAAGUAUCGGCUAACUCCGUGCCAGCAGCCGCGGUAAUACGGGGGAUGCAAGCGUUAUCCGGAAUCACUGGGCGUAAAGCGUCUGUAGGUGGUUUAGUGUGUUCUUAGUUAAAUUAUGAAGCCUAACUUCAUGAAAAGUAAGAAAACUAUUAGACUUGAGUACGAUAGGGGUAAGAGGAAUUCUUCGAGAAGUAGUGAAAUGCGAAGAUACGAAGGAGAAGAUCAUAAGCGAAGGCUUCCUACUGGGUCGUAACUGACACUGAGAGACGAAAGCUAGGGGAGCGAAUGGGAUUAGAUACCCCAGUAGUCCUAGCUGUAAACGAUGGAUAUUCGGUGCCGGAUUUUAUUAGAACAUUUCGGUACCCUAGCUAACGCGUUAAAUAUCCCGCCUGAGGAGUACGCUCGCAAGGGUGAAACUCAAAGGAAUUGACGGGGGCUCGCACAAGCGGUGGAGCAUGUGGUUUAAUUCGAUGCAAAGCGAAGAACCUUACCAGGGCUUGACAGUAUG